rnacentral:rRNA from 1 species
GACGUAGGGCGCGAGCGUUGUCCGGAUUUACUGGGCGUAAAGCGCACGUAGGCGGUUUGUUAAGUCAGGGGUGAAAUCCCGGAGCUCAACUCCGGAACUGCCUUUGAUACUGGCAAGCUAGAGUCCGGAAGAGGUAAGUGGAACUCCUAGUGUAGAGGUGGAAUUCGUAGAUAUUAGGAAGAACACCGGUGGCGAAGGCGGCGACCUGGUCCAUUACUGACGCUGAGGCGCGAAAGCGUGGGGAGCAAACAGG